UAGGGGAAUCUUCCACAAUGGACGCAAGUCUGAUGGAGCAACGCCGCGUGAGUGAAGAAGGUCUUCGGAUCGUAAAACUCUGUUGUUAAAGAAGAACACGUAUGAGAGUAACUGUUCAUACGUUGACGGUAUUUAACCAGAAAGUCACGGCUAACUACGUGCCAG
rnacentral:rRNA from 1 species